AACAAGGCGCACGCGCAGACGGGGGUGGGCCGGCAUAGGAAGGUCUUGGUCCCGGCGCUCGGCCAGUCCCCGAGGAAGGGGCCGCUCAGCGUGGCGUUCAGCAAGGCGAGAAGCAGUGUCCGGGAGUGCGUUUCCGCCACUGGGCUCGGAGGCGUGCCCGUCCUGCCAGCCCGGCUGCUCGCUUCCUGCGGUGACACGCUUCCGGUGGCAGUGACACGAGGGCGUCUGUGACGUCAUCGUAGGGCGACGAGGGCGACGGGCCCGCCCAGGCCACGUGACCCCGGCACCGGCAUCCCCAGGUCACCUCUUCACCUGUCCGCAGGGAGAGCACAGCUGAGUUUCUGGAGGCUACAGGACAAGAUACAGCCACGGAGUCAGUGCUGAAAAAGCAUUUGCCCUUCUUCCGUAGCCAGUCAACAGCGUCAGGUUGAGCCUGAUGUAAAGUUUCGAGACCUCCUUUGAAUCUGGAGAGGUGGCAGUCGUUGACUAUGUGGGUCAUAGUCUGUCUGUAGCUGCAUAAUAAACUGCUAAUAAACGAGA